AAAUUACCAUCUGAUCAUCAUCAGAUCAUCGUGUCAGAUCAGUAAAUUACCAUCUCAGCAAAGAAGGCCCUUUCAGUUACAUACUAUGUAGAAAAGUACAAGGAUUACUAAAGGGCUGUAACUUAUGCAAAAAAAAAAUGAAGAGCUAAAAAGGUAAAUAGUAUCAGAAGUACAUACUCAUAAUUUUAACUAUAUGUAGUAUUUAUUUGUUUAAUGAUAAGUCUGUAACAAUCAUUUCUUAUGAAGGCAGAGAAAGUGAUGUCUGAUCAAAUUUGAAUCCAAGAGAAGAUGAGUCUUCCAUUUGUAAUGCAGGCAAGAGGAGCUGGUGGGAGCAGCAAACGGGGAAGAUGGUGGAAGAAGCUUGGUAACCAGCCAGGGCAGUUCACUGGUACCUGAUUCUCUACUCACUACAGAAGGGAUGAGCCUGUCCUCAUGGCGCUGAACUUCCCCAGCAUCACAUCUGGAAUAAGAUGGCAUCCUUCCUUUGACACUGAAAUGGCCAGCAGCUCUUCAAAGGGGCUCUGAACCCGGAGAAGAGGCCAAUAUAUAUUUGGAGGGAUCUUUUGUGAAAGCACCAUACCAGACACCUUCUUUCCUCCAAGCAAACAACCAUUCCUAUAACAGUGAGCAAGGAACAUUCUGAAACCGAUCCUCUUUCUCUGCAUCUGAGCUGGUGAGGGAGACAAGAUACUUCUGGUAGCCUGUGAAGAGAGUCAGGUAUCUGCAGAAAUAAACCUAUAUUUUUUAAUAUUUUAAAAUUCA
rnacentral:lncRNA from 1 species